rfam:Schistosoma haematobium scaffold555_12, whole genome shotgun sequence.
AUCCAAUUGACGAGUCCCAAAUAGGACGAAACGUGCAUCCUGGAU